CCCGUAUGUAGAAAUGAAGUGUCGACAAUCGGCAAUGUUUAUAAAGGAAACGAAAAUGGAAAUUCUCUUUAACCAACAGGACUACUUUUAAAGUUUAAAGAUCUACUGUCCAUUUAUGUUUGAUUCAAGUCCAGUCGAUUUAUAAUUUAGUAAAGAUCCAUGUCCAGUCAAUGUAAUCCUUGUCCAGUCAAGUUGUUAUUAUAGUCCAUGUGAUCCUUGUCCAGCC